GACGAACGCUGGCGGCGUGCUUAACACAUGCAAGUCGAACGGAAAGGCCCUGCUUUUGUGGGGUGCUCGAGUGGCGAACGGGUGAGUAACACGUGAGUAACCUGCCCUUGACUUUGGGAUAACUUCAGGAAACUGGGGCUAAUACCGGAUAGGAGCUCCUGCUGCAUGGUGGGGGUUGGAAAGUUUCGGCGGUUGGGGAUGGACUCGCGGCUUAUCAGCUUGUUGGUGGGGUAGUGGCUUACCAAGGCUUUGACGGGUAGCCGGCCUGAGAGGGUGACCGGCCACAUUGGGACUGAGAUACGGCCCAGACUCCUACGGGAGGCAGCAGUGGGGAAUAUUGCACAAUGGGCGGAAGCCUGAUGCAGCAACGCCGCGUGCGGGAUGACGGCCUUCGGGUUGUAAACCGCUUUCGCCUGUGACGAAGCGUGAGUGACGGUAAUGGGUAAAGAAGCACCGGCUAACUACGUGCCAGCAGCCGCGGUGAUACGUAGGGUGCGAGCGUUGUCCGGAUUUAUUGGGCGUAAAGGGCUCGUAGGUGGUUGAUCGCGUCGGAAGUGUAAUCUUGGGGCUUAACCCUGAGCGUGCUUUCGAUACGGGUUGACUUGAGGAAGGUAGGGGAGAAUGGAAUUCCUGGUGGAGCGGUGGAAUGCGCAGAUAUCAGGAGGAACACCAGUGGCGAAGGCGGUUCUCUGGGCCUUUCCUGACGCUGAGGAGCGAAAGCGUGGGGAGCGAACAGGCUUAGAUACCCUGGUAGUCCACGCUGUAAACGGUGGGUACUAGGUGUGGGGUCCAUUCCACGGGUUCCGUGCCGUAGCUAACGCUUUAAGUACCCCGCCUGGGGAGUACGGCCGCAAGGCUAAAACUCAAAGGAAUUGACGGGGCCCCGCACAAGCGGCGGAGCAUGCGGAUUAAUUCGAUGCAACGCGUAGAACCUUACCUGGGUUUGACAUGGAUCGGGAGUGCUCAGAGAUGGGUGUGCCUCUUUUGGGGUCGGUUCACAGGUGGUGCAUGGCUGUCGUCAGCUCGUGUCGUGAGAUGUUGGGUUAAGUCCCGCAACGAGCGCAACCCUUGUUCACUGUUGCCAGCACGUUAUGGUGGGGACUCAGUGGAGACCGCCGGGGUCAACUCGGAGGAAGGUGGGGAUGACAUCAAGUCAUCAUGCCCCUUAUGUCCAGGGCUUCACGCAUGCUACAAUGGCUGGUACAGAGAGUGGCGAGCCUGUGAGGGUGAGCGAAUCUCGGAAAGCCGGUCUCAGUUCGGAUUGGGGUCUGCAACUCGACCUCAUGAAGUCGGAGUCGCUAGUAAUCGCAGAUCAGCAACGCUGCGGUGAAUACGUUCCCGGG
rnacentral:rRNA from 1 species